rnacentral:rRNA from 1 species
UACGUAGGGGGCAAGCGUUGUCCGGAAUCACUGGGCGUAAAGGGCGCGUAGGCGGCAUGCCAAGCGUGAGGUGAAAGCCCGGGGCUCAACCCCGGGUCGGCCGUGCGGACUGGCGUGCUCGAGCACUGUAGGGGCGGGUGGAAUUCCUGGUGUAGCGGUGAUAUGCGUAGAUAUCGGGAGGAACACCUGUGGCGAAGGCGGCUUUCUGGGCCCUACCUGACGCUGAGACGCGAAAGCGUGGGGAGCGAACCGG